rnacentral:pre_miRNA from 1 species
UCCAUAAAGUAGAAAGCACUACUAAACUCCUCGCCCACAGUGUAGUGUUUCCUACUUUAUGGAUG